GAAUCCCACAGGCCGUAAACCCAAGGUUUCCAGGGGAAGGUUCGUCCGCCCUGGGUUAGUCGGGACCUAAGCUGAGGCCGAAAGGCGUAGGUGAUGGACAACAGGUUGAUAUUCCUGUACUACCGAUCACCGUUUGAGAGAAGGGAUGACACAGUAGGAUAAGCUAAGCACACUGUUGGUUAUGUGUGCCCAAGCAUUGAGGCAG
rnacentral:rRNA from 1 species